rnacentral:rRNA from 1 species
AUGGGAAACCCUGUUGAUGCACCUAAACCCUAUCAAUGGAUAUGGAAAUCAUGCUCUUUACCAAAGCAGAAAUUCUUCUUCUGGCUCUUAUUACAAGACAGAUUAAACACUAGAGAUCUACUAAAAAGGAAGAAUUUCUACAUUGAGACUAGUAAGUGUGAAUUAUGUGAUGAUGAACCUAAUGAACAUUUAAUGCAUCUGUUUUUUAGCUGUGAUUUCAGUCAAAACUUCUGGAUGAACAUUGGCUACCAAUGGAACACUGAUCAUAACCUCAUAGAAAUGCUCCUGGAGGGAAGGAAGCAAGAUACACAUGGAUGCUUUAAAGAAUGUCUGAUUGCUGGAUGCUAGAGUCUAUGGAAACACAGAAAUAGCAUAAUUUUUGACAACAAGGUCAAAAAUAUGACAUUAUGUAUUGCCACUUUCAAGGAGCACUUUUGCAUGAUUAUAAAGAAGGCAAAACCAGGAUUGAAAGAGGGCAUGCAAAGCUGGCUAGAUCAUUUGUAG